UUUGAUUGGUUGCCAUGGGUUACUGCCCAUGGGCAAAUUUGCCCAGUGUUGAUAAAUGACCCCCAGUGAGUGUUGGAGGCACUAUUUCAAUACCAGUUGAAGGGUCCUAUGUUACAUAAAUGACAGGGUCUCCAUUCAUAGGGGGAAAUGCACAAAAGAGUCGGUAAGUACACAGUUCUUCAAGGGCCUUAUUAAGUCUGAAUUUACAGGUCCGAGCACUCCUCACUACACUACAUACCUACAUGCCUUACAAUCUUAGCUUUUUAUGCUUUGGGUUGGGUCUUUUGUUGAACCAGUUGCUGUUGGGUUUACAGCAGUUGACCAAAGAUACUUUUAAGUGUUUCGGACACUCCAGAAAUAUAUGGGAGGGCCAAGUUCUUUCAUCUGUCCUGCUUUCCACCUUCACUGUUGUUUAUUCUUCUCCUGGUUUUAAAGGACAAGGAAAGCCAUUUUUUACUUCCUGUAUUGUGUUAAUAGCACUCCUGCUCUCCCUGAUUGCUUACUUUUGUAACCCAUCCUAUUCGCCAUUUUAAAUAGGAAUUCGUCAUCAUGGGCGUCCUUCCCAACGAUCUGCUGAUGUGCAAUAUUUCCCAACCCGCUCAGUUGCGCUUACCUGUGCUGGUUCUGGAAAGAAAGAUUGCUCUCAUGUAAGAAAGCGUGCUUUCAACAUAUAUCAUGUGUGCAUUCUCCAAAUUCGAAGCUUACCUAUUGCACAUUCAAGGCAGUCUCGGUCAUGGAGGCAAAGUGAUGCUUUUUUUGGGUUUCGCUAUUUCUAUACUUAGCACUUUGGAGAAAUACUUUACAGCACUAUUAGCCUUUAUUGAGGUGAGCCUUUCCCUGCACUCAUUAUCAUCUUUGGGCUUUCCUUGUCCCUUAACUAAGGACCAAUCUGGAUACCUGCAAGUUUUAGAGGCCCCUCUGUGAUGUUCCAAGUAUCUUGCCUUAGCCUCUGUUCUGUGUUGUAGUGUUCUGAUUAUCCUCAGUUUGUGAUCUAGUGGAUGGUGAGAUUUUAAGUGCAGGUGCUGGUCCACGUGGGUUGGUUUCCUGUAGACCGCUAUUUCCAGCUUUCUAACCUCUCUGAUUCUUACCAAGCAGUCCAAAAAACCCGGUGCAUUAUCUUGCACAUCUUCAUGUGUAAACCUGAUGUUGAAUUGAGAAAGCCAGUCGGAUGACUAGCAAAACGUCUUCAAGAGAAAAAAUACAACACUUACAAUUAGAGUUGAUCCUAGAUGGAGGAAGAAGUUAGAAGUGUACCUGGCAAGAAGGAGCAAAGGACUUUAGGAAAAGUUUUUGAAAGUAAAAUCAGUACAGUUAUCAAUGGCAAGAUGAUUUGGCACAGGGUUCUGGACAGUGUAGAGGAAAUCAUCAGCACACUCAAAACCUCUCCAUGGAUGAGCCUGGUGCUUGAUAUGUAGGGUUGGCCUCUAGUUUUCCUAUAACUCUUUGGCUAACAAGGUACAACACCUUUACUUGGAAUUUCAAUAGAAUCUGUGUCCCUCCUGAAAAGUACAAAAUCUGUGGCCCAAUCAGGCGUUCAUCUCAGCCCUAGACUUCAGAACACUUUAUCAACCACUUUUUUUUAGCCCUUGUUCCACUUUAUGCCACAGUGCACACAGAAUUUACUGGCUCUACUGUGACCUCUUUACUGGGCAGUGGAUGUAUGCACACUGGAAUUAUUAGAUUUGAAGUUACACUCCAUGCAAAGUAAACUGCUCUGCUGUGUUGUGGCAGUGCAUUGUGAGAAUAUGCACUACUUAUUUAGUUAAUUUAAAAACGUGUACAUUUUGUUACAUCCAGGUUCAUUGUAGGCUAAAAAUGCCUUAAUAUGGCUUUGCACAUUGCUCCCCUUGGCAUAUGAGCACUUUAUUGUUUGAGAACAAAAAGUACUGUGUGACAACCAGAUGCAUACACAUGUUUUCACCUCUAGGUGUCAGCAAACUCCCACUGGAGCAAGUGUUUUCCAUAAUGUAGCACAAUGACAAAAUUACUGCAAGUCCUGUCCAAGAACUCUUGCUUUCUACACAGAAUCAGCAUUCAUGUGGUUACUUGUGCAUGUCUGAUAUGUGUGUGCCAGGACUGAAAUUUCCAGCUGAACCUAAAAUUUCUCCUUGAUCCCCUCGACAAUGCUAGUCACAGGUCAGUGCAAUACCGGCAAUAUCCUUGUCAAGCUUCUUACAGCUAAAUAAUACAGUACUAUUAAUUCUUUCAUUGCACACUUCCUGGCUCCUGCUAGUUUAUACAUCAACAUUAUGUUUAAUGCAAACAUAGAUUGACCCUACCUCUUUAGCAUUCAAUCUACGGUGGCAACAUAGUAGAUUAAACUGUAUUAUGUAAUCAAUUCAGGCUGAUAUAUCUCAUUUGAACAUUAAGAUACUGGUUGGUCUUCUGAUAAGUAAGGUGAUCAGCACCUUUAUUGCUGUUUGAAUGAUGCAAUAAGAAAGCUAAGCAAAGAGAAGCAAAAACACUAAACACUAAAGGAACUUUCCUCUACAGUUCACUGCUGAAAACACCACAGCCUGAAUGACAAAGGGAGCAAAAGUUGCAACAAAUAAAAUACUGUUUAUUUUUCUGAAACCAGAACCCACAUAUGAAAAUGUUAGAUGACUCUUCCCUGCUCUGUUCUAUGCAUGACAAAAUCCGAAUACUUUCCUCUUUUUCAUUUUCUCCCUACUGUCAGGUUGUUUGACAGAACUGACCAGAAGGUGGUGCUGGUGUUUCAAUUUCAUUGUACAGUGUAUUAGCAUUUUAAGAAAUGAUAACUAGAAACAAAUAAGGUAAAUAGAAAAGAGCACUCUGAGCAGGUUUACUCUAAUUUGUUCUGAGGUUAACCUUACUUUUUUCCAUUCCACUAAUUUCAUAAUUUUUUUUAAAAUAUGUUAUCAAUGUGUAAGUGCAGGGUUAUGAUUGUCACGUGUAUGCUGUAAUCCUCCCUUUCUUCUUUUUAAAGGCUGUAUGUAUUGGAACAGUGUGGUUUUAUUAUGAUCAUUAUGUGCAUAAUGUCAUCCUCCCUUUCUUCUUUGAGAAACCUGUAUGAACAUCACAACACCCUUUUUAUGUUCAUCCCCCUCCAUCUGUCAAGCUGGGCUGGGGACCAUGUGUUCUCGUUUAAGUUUUUUAUUGUGCUUUCACAUCACACAUGUAUGGAAGUAUUUGUUAUUGUGUGUAACCUUAAACUCUGAUGUGUUCUGGUUUGCUGAAGUUUUUCAUUGCCCCAGUGGUGCAGAACUGCAUCAAGAGGUGGGAGGAUUGGGGUUCUUAAUUUAAACCAUUGUCGGGUAAUAUAAUGAUACCAACCCAGUUCUAAAAGUAUUUUGAAUUAAACUUUGGUUCUGA